UACGUAGGGGGCAAGCGUUGUCCGGAAUUAUUGGGCGUAAAGCGCGCGCAGGCGGUCCUUUAAGUCUGAUGUGAAAGCCCACGGCUCAACCGUGGAGGGUCAUUGGAAACUGUCGGGCUUGAGUAUGGGAGAGGUGAGUGGAAUUUCCGGUGUAGCGGUGAAAUGCGUAGAUAUCGGAAGGAACACCUGUGGCGAAAGCGGCUCACUGGACCAUAACUGACGCUGAGGCGCGAAAGCUAGGGGAGCAAACAGG
rnacentral:rRNA from 1 species